GGACCCGCACAAGCGGUGGAGCAUGUGGUUUAAUUCGAUGCAACGCGAAGAACCUUACCUGGUCUUGACAUCCUGCGAACUUUCUAGAAAUAGAUUGGUGCCUUCGGGAACGCAGUGACAGGUGCUGCAUGGCUGUCGUCAGCUCGUGUCGUGAGAUGUUGGGUUAAGUCCCGUAACGAGCGCAACCCCUAUCCUUAUUUGCCAGCACAUCAUGGUGGGAACUCUAAGGAGACUGCCGAUGACAAAUCGGAGGAAGGUGGGGGACGACGUCAAGUCAUCAUGGCCCUUACGUGUAGGGCUACACACGUGCUACAAUGGCCGGUACAAACGGUUGCGAACCCGCGAGGGGAAGCUAA
rnacentral:rRNA from 1 species